AUUGAACGCUGGCGGCAGGCCUAACACAUGCAAGUCGAGCGAGCGGCGGACGGGUGAGUAAUGUAUGGGGAUCUGCCCGAUAGAGGGGGAUAACUACUGGAAACGGUGGCUAAUACCGCAUACCAUCGGAGGUGCCCAGAUGGGAUUAGCUAGUAGGUGGGGUAACGGCUCACCUAGGCGACGAUCCCUAGCUGGUCUGAGAGGAUGACCAGCCACACUGGAACUGAGACACGGUCCAGACUCCUACGGGAGGCAGCAGUUGGGAAUAUUGCACAAUGGGCGCAAGCCUGAUGCAGCCAUGCCGCGUGUAUGAAGAAGGCCUUGGGGUUGUAAAGUACUUUCAGCGGGGAGGCGUUACCCGCAGAAGAAGCACCGGCUAACUCCGUGCCAGCAGCCGCGGUAAUAC
rnacentral:rRNA from 1 species